rnacentral:rRNA from 1 species
AUUGAACGCUGGCGGCAGGCCUAACACAUGCAAGUCGAACGAGUGGCGGACGGGUGAGUAAUGUCUGGGAAACUGCCCGAUGGAGGGGGAUAACUACUGGAAACGGUAGCUAAUACCGCAUACCAUCGGAUGUGCCCAGAUGGGAUUAGGUAGUAGGUGGGGUAACGGCUCACCUAGGCGACGAUCCCUAGCUGGUGUGGGAGGAUGACACUCCCCCAUGGAACUGAGACACGGUCCAUACUCCUCCUUCCUGCCUCCUAUCUUUCUAUUUCAAUCUUCACGCAAGCCGGAUCCAGCCAUGCCGCGUGUAUGAACACCUCCUUCAGAUUUUCACGUACUUUCAGCGAGGAGGCGUUACUCGCAGAAGAAGCACCGGCUAACUCCGUGCCAGCAGCCGCGGUAAUAC